rnacentral:rRNA from 1 species
UACGUAGGUGGCAAGCGUUUGUCCGGAUUUACUGGGCGUAAAGCGCGCGUAGGCGGCUUUGCAAGUCGGGUGUGAAAUCCCCAGGCUUAACCUGGGAACUGCAUUCGAGACUGCAUUGCUAGAGUAUGGGAGAGGGAAGUGGAAUUUCCGGUGUAGCGGUGAAAUGCGUAGAUAUCGGAAGGAACAUCAGUGGCGAAAAGCGACUUCCUGGACCAAUACUGACGCUCAUGUGCGAAAAGCGUGGGGGAGCAAAACAGG